AUGUGCCUUCGGGAACCGUGAGACAGGUGCUGCAUGGCUGUCGUCAGCUCGUGUUGUGAAAUGUUGGGUUAAGUCCCGCAACGAGCGCAACCCUUAUCCUUUGUUGCCAGCGGUCCGGCCGGGAACUCAAAGGAGACUGCCAGUGAUAAACUGGAGGAAGGUGGGGAUGACGUCAAGUCAUCAUGGCCCUUACGACCAGGGCUACACACGUGCUACAAUGGCGCAUACAAAGAGAAGCGACCUCGCGAGAGCAAGCGGACCUCAUAAAGUGCGUCGUAGUCCGGAUUGGAGUCUGCAACUCGACUCCAUGAAGUCGGAAUCGCUAGUAAUCGUGGAUCAGAAUGCCACGGUGAAUACGUUCCCGGGCCUUGUACACACCGCCCGUCACACCAUGGGAGUGGGUUGCAAAAGAAGUAGGUAGCUUAACCUUCGGGAGGGCGCUUACCACUUUGUGAUUCAUGACUGGGGUGAAGUCGUAACAAGGUAACCGUAGGGGAACCUGCGGUUGGAUCACCUCCUUACCUUAAAGAA
rnacentral:rRNA from 1 species